UACGGAGGGGGCUAGCGUUGUUCGGAAUUACUGGGCGUAAAGCGCACGUAGGCGGCUUUGUAAGUUAGAGGUGAAAGCCCAGGGCUUAACCCUGGAAUUGCCUUUAAGACUGCAUCGCUAGAAUCGUGGAGAGGUGAGUGGAAUUCCCAGUGUAGAGGUGAAAUUCGUAGAUAUUCGGAAGAACACCAGUGGCGAAGGCGACUCACUGGACACGUAUUGACGCUGAGGUGCGAAAGCGUGGGGAGCAAACAGG
rnacentral:rRNA from 1 species